AGUGAACGCUGGCGGUAGGCCUAACACAUGCAAGUCGAACGGCAGCACAGUAAGAGCUUGCUCUUACGGGUGGCGAGUGGCGGACGGGUGACGAAUACAUCGGAAUCUACUUUUUCGUGGGGGAUAACGUAGGGAAACUUACGCUAAUACCGCAUACGACCUACGGGUGAAAGCAGGGGAUCUUCGGCCCUUGCGCGAUUGAAUGAGCCGAUGUCGGAUUACCUAGUUGGCGGGGUAAAGGCCCACCAAGGCGACGAUCCGUAGCUGGUCUGAGAGGAUGAUCAGCCACACUGGAACUGAGACACGGUCCAGACUCCUACGGGAGGCAGCAGUGGGGAAUAUUGGACAAUGGGCGCAAGCCUGAUCCAGCCAUACCGCGUGGGUGAAGAAGGCCUUCGGGUUGUAAAGCCCUUUUGUUGGGAAAGAAAAGCAGCAGGUUAAUACCCCGCUGUUCUGACGGUACCCAAAGAAUAAGCACCGGCUAACUUCGCG
rnacentral:rRNA from 1 species